rnacentral:rRNA from 1 species
UAGUCCACGCCGUAAACGAUGGAUACUAGCUGUCGGGACUUCGGUCUCGGCGGCCAAGCGAAAGUGAUAAGUAUCCCACCUGGGGAGUACGUUCGCAAGAAUGAAACUCAAAGGAAUUGACGGGGGCCCGCACAAGCGGUGGAGCAUGUGGUUUAAUUCGAUGAUACGCGAGGAACCUUACCAGGGCUUAAAUGUAGAUUGCAUUAGGCAGAGAUGCUUAUUUCUUCGGACUAUCUACAAGGUGCUGCAUGGUUGUCGUCAGCUCGUGCCGUGAGGUGUCAGGUUAAGUCCUAUAACGAGCGCAACCCCUACCGUUAGUUGCUAGCAGGUCAUGCUGAGGACUCUAACGGGACUGCCGGUGCAAACCGUGAGGAAGGUGGGGACGACGUCAAAUCGUCAUGGCCCUUACGGGUAGGGCUACACACGUGCUACAAUGGUCGGUACAGAGGGUUGCGAAGCCGCGAGGUGGAGCUAAUCUCAUAAAACCGAUCGUAGUCCGGAUUGGAGUCUGCAA